rnacentral:tRNA from 7 species
GGGUUCGUAGCUCAGCCGGUUAGAGCGCUGCGUUCACAUCGCAGAGGUCAGAGGUUCGAGUCCUCUCGAGCCCACCA